AUAAAUAUAAUAACUUAAAUAGCAAUAUAAAUUGAACACAAUAAGUAAAGUUUUAUGAAAUUUAUUUCAUCAUAUCUCCUUAUUUAUUGCACAAAGUCCAUACCAUGACAUUGCAUAGUAGACAUGAUAAGUGGAAAUCGAUUUACAUGUCUAGUUGGAAUACUAUUUCCACUUAACAAGUCAGGAUUUUAUGUUUGACAUUAUUUUGUAGUUGCAGUAACAAAUUAUGGAAUAUUUUGAUCAACU
rnacentral:lncRNA from 1 species